CAGCAGCAGCCGCGGGAAUACGUAGGGUGCAAGCGUUAAUCGGAAUUACUGGGCGUAAAGCGUGCGCAGGCGGUUAUAUAAGUCAGAUGUGAAAUCCCCGGGCUCAACCUGGGAACUGCAUUUGAGACUGUAUGGCUUGAGUGUGUCAGAGGGGGGUAGAAUUCCACGUGUAGCAGUGAAAUGCGUAGAUAUGUGGAGGAAUACCGAUGGCGAAGGCAGCCCCCUGGGAUAACACUGACGCUCAUGCACGAAAGCGUGGGGAGCAAACAGGAUUAGAUACCCCUGUAGUCCCUGUCUCUUAUAC
rnacentral:rRNA from 1 species